rnacentral:misc_RNA from 1 species
GUCAGAGAACACUUCUUCUUUCUUUUCAAUAUCCUUUCCGUUGUCUAGUUCCUGCACACAUGCAUAUAUAGAUAAGCUCAUGUGAAGAGAGAAUCAAAGAUGGAGACUUUCUCUUGAAUUUCAUCAUUUUAACAUGUUAUUUUGAUGUCUUUCCUAUUUAUAAUGCUCAAUUAUAAGUAUACCUUCCCUUUAGUUAGUCAUUUUUGUCAUUUUGGAUGAUGAUCAUGAUGUGUUUGGAUUGGAACGAUUAGAUUUAAGCAUGCCAAAGGGAUAGUGACACUGAUUUCUUCUUGUAUAAUGGGUCAGAUGCGUUUAUGAGCCUAUUCAUAGAUGAUACUAGUUAAUGAGUGAUCUAUAUGCGAAACCCUCUAAAAUACAAUUGAUCA